GUGGGGAAUAUUGGGCAAUGGGGGAAACCCUGACCCAGCAACGCCGCGUGAGUGAAGAAGGCCUUCGGGUUGUAAAGCUCUGUCAUUAGGGAAGAAGAAGUGACGGUACCUAAUGAGGAAGCCCCGGCUAACUACGUGCCAGCAGCCGCGGUAAUACGUAGGGGGCGAGCGUUGUCCGGAAUUACUGGGCGUAAAGGGUGCGUAGGCGGCGUGUUAAGUUGGAUGUGAAAUACCCGGGCUUAACCUGGGGGGUGCAUUCGAUACUGGCAGGCUAGAGUGCAGGAGAGAGAAGCGGAAUUCCUAGUGUAGCGGUGAAAUGCGUAGAUAUUAGGAGGAACACCAGUGGCGAAGGCGGCUUUCUGGACUGUAACUGACGCUGAUGCACGAAAGCGUGGGGAGCAAACAGGAUUAGAAACCCGGGUAGUCC
rnacentral:rRNA from 1 species